rnacentral:misc_RNA from 1 species
UAACAACCGAUAAAAAAAAAUCUAACAGGCUUAGCCUCGAGUUGAACCAACUGUGAUGUUUCAAAACCCCUGACAAUUACAUGAUAACAAGUAAUUGUCUCAUCAUGAUCCUUGCUCCAAAUUCCGUUCCAGUUUUAGAAUCUGAGUCAUCUGCAAUUGUGCUAGUUGUGUUCCUAGGACUUGAAUUGGUUGGUGGUUGAGUCAUUGGCUGGUGUUGGAUUGUAAGAGCCAUUUUGAAUUCUCGGGUCACACGGCUUGUUGAUCUGAAACAGCUGGAAAUCCUUAAAAACAGUGUUAGCUAAAGCCUACUCCUAGCUGAAGUAUAAGGGAUUAACAACCGAU